UACAGAGGGUGCAAGCGUUAUUCGGAAUUAUUGGGCGUAAAGCGCACGUAGGUGGUUUGGUAAGUCUGAUGUGAAAGCCCCGGACUCAAUUCGGGAAGUGCAUUGGAUACUGCUAAACUGGAGUAUGGGAGAGGUGAGUGGAAUUCCAGGUGUAGAGGUGAAAUUCGUAGAUAUCUGGAGGAACAACAGAGGCGAAGGCGGCUCACUGGACCAUUACUGACACUGAGGUGCGAAAGCGUGGGGAGCAAACAGG
rnacentral:rRNA from 1 species